AGUGAGCGCUGGCGGUAGGCCUAACACAUGCAAGUCGAACGGCAGCACAGUAAGAGCUUGCUCUUACGGGUGGCGAGUGGCGGACGGGUGAGGAAUACAUCGGAAUCUACUUUUUCGUGGGGGAUAACGUAGGGGAACUUACGCUAAUACCGCAUACGACCUACGGGUGAAAGCAGGGGAUCUUCGGACCUUGCGCGAUUGAAUGAGCCGAUGUCGGAUUAGCUAGUUGGCGGGGUAAAGGCCCACCAAGGCGACGAUCCGUAGCUGGUCUGAGAGGAUGAUCAGCCACACUGGAACUGAGACACGGUCCAGACUCCUACGGGAGGCAGCAGUGGGGAAUAUUGGACAAUGGGCGCAAGCCUGAUCCAGCCAUACCGCGUGGGUGAAGAAGGCCUUCGGGUUGUAAAGCCCUUUUGUUGGGAAAGAAAAGCAGCAGGUUAAUACCCCGCUGUUCUGACGGUACCCAAAGAAUAAGCACCGGCUAACUUCGUG
rnacentral:rRNA from 1 species